rnacentral:rRNA from 1 species
GACGAACGCUGGCGGCGUGCUUAACACAUGCAAGUCGAACGGAAAGGCCCUGCUUUUGUUGGGUUCUCGAGUGGCGAACGGGUGAGUAACACGUGAGUAACCUUCCCUUGACUUUGGUAUAACUUCAGGAAACUGGUUCUAAUACCGGAUAUGAUCUCCUGCUGCAUUGUGUGGGUUGGUAUGUUUCGGCGGUUGGGUAUGGACUCGCUGCUUAUCAGCUUGUUUGUGUGGUAGUGGCUUACCAAGGCUUUGACGGGUAGCAGGCCUGAGAGGGUGACAGGCAACAUUGGGACGGAGAUACGGAACAGAAGGGAACGGGAGGCAGGAGUGGGGAAUAUUGCAAAAUGGGAGGAAGGAUGAGGCAGAAAAGGCGGGUGGGGGAUGAAGGCAUUCGGGUUGUAAAAAGAAGUAGAAUGAGAAGAAGAGAGAGUGACGGUAAUGGGUAAAGAAGCACCGGCUAACUACGUG